GAUGAAGAACGUAGCGAAAUGCGAUAAGUAGUGUGAAUUGCAGAAUUCAGUGAAUCAUCGAAUCUUUGAACGCACAUUGCGCCCCUUGGUAUUCCAUGGGGCAUGCCUGUUCGAGCGUCAUUUGUACCUUCAAGCUUUGCUUGGUGUUGGGUGUUUGUCCAUUCUCUGUCAGUGGGACUCGCCUUAAAGUAAUUGGCAGCCAGUGUUUUGGUUUUGAAGCGCAGCACAAGUCGCGAUUCAAAGCUAUACGCCCGCUUCCACAAGCCUUUUUCACUUUUGACCUCGGAUCAGGUAGGGAUACCCGCUGAACUUAAGCAUAUCAAUAAGCGGAGGA
rnacentral:misc_RNA from 1 species